AAUUUUCGUGCAUGUACGUGAAACACAGCUGGAGGGCUGUUGAUUUUUUUACGAUAGGUGGCGCUGUCGAGCCAUUUUGCCACACCCUCUUCUGAAACCUAUAUCAGACGUAAAUUUUCACCAGGUCUGACGCGUGUGCAAAGUUUCAGGACUUUUCGAGCAUGUUUAGGCCCUCAAAAAUGCGAUUCAUUUUGGAGAAGAAGAAGAAGAAGAAUAAUAAUAAUAAUUAAAGCUGCAAGCAGCGAUGAACGGGCCCUCGCACCC
ensembl:lncRNA